GAGAUGAGAAGAGGGGAAAGCCAUGGGCAUUUCCAGUAUCUGGAAGCGUGUGAUGUGGUCUGCAAGGGAAGGAGGGAUGAGUCUGAGGCAAGUAUCUCUAGGUGGCUCUAUUCGCAUACUCCCCCGUUCACUUGUAAGAGUGUUACUCCAUCUCUUUGGUUUCUUUUAAGCAGAAAACACCGGGUUGCUGAAUUCCGCAGUUCAGUUAAAUCACGCGAAUACACCCAGCUAACGAAUUGCACGAAAGGCACCUCGCACAACUCAAGAGGCUCCCCGAAACCAGUCUCCCACGCUGGCGGGGAUAAAAAAAAAAAAAGCAGCGCGCGAUUUAUCAGCUGGUUACAGUUAUUCGCAACUUCUCCCACCUGCUCCUGCAGCCCAACCUUUAAGGGCCGGCCACCUUUAGCUGGAAGCGAAGUUUGUUUUUCCGCUGGGCAAGCCCUAAAGUGGUGUGGUUUGCCGGUACAUCUGUCCUGCCGUCCCUCCUCAGAGUGACUGCUGCUUGCUCACCUUCCAAUGAGAGACACAAGCAGAAACUUGUGGAUCCUUCUCUGGUCCUCAACCAUGCUGUAGUUACUGCAUGUAACUGCAACAUCUGCCUCCCACAGAGUUCUCCAGUCUCUCCUGGUAGUCACGAUCCGAUCCCUGUCACAGAAAGCCCACGUGCGACUGGGAGAGUAUUCAUCAAAAUCCUCACUGGCAUUUGUGUAGUGGCAGCAAGAUGAGGGAUCUGUGACCAUUGGUG